rnacentral:lncRNA from 1 species
GUGUAAAAGUUUAGUUUUGAAACUGAAAACUUCCAACAAAGUUCAGUUGUGUAGUUGCUUUUGUGAUUUACUUGUAAUUUGGCAUAGUCUUUAUGUAAAAAAGAGUACAAUGUCAUUGAUUCAAAUCUGUCCUUCUUUGUUGGAAACUAAUAAACAUGGAUCUUAGCUGUGGUAUCUGCAAAAAUGAUUUUAUGCACUGAGCUGAUAUUUUUCAAAAAAAAAAAAAUCUAAUUUCUUUAGAAUAUGUCUACUAAAGAAAAAGGAUCAGAAAUUAAGAAAAACAUGUGUCCAUGAAUUUGAUGUCUGACUGUAGAUUAUGUGUGAACAUGCAUUGGCCAUGCAACACUUAAUGUUGUUGAAUUUUGGCAAACUCACAGAAACAAAACAGUCUUCUAUUGAUACUUUAUUUCAUUUUAAAGACAGUAAAAAUUUUACACUACCAUUUUCUUUUCCAAGAGAAAAAAGAAAAAAGAUAAGAUAAGAUCUACACAUACACUGGGACAAUUAACUGAAUCACAAAGGUUCAUCUUUCUGCUUUCAAAACACAGUAAAGGUAACCUCCCUCUAUAAAGUGUUAUUGUCAGGGAGCAACCAUCCUUUUCCAUAAUAAUAUAU